AGAGCCGGCCGGGUGGUCGCGGGAGCGGUUGAUGGCCGCUCUCGAGGAAAGUCCGGACUCCGCAGGGCAGGGAGCUGGGUAACACCCAGGCGGGGAGACCCGACGGAAAGUGCCGCAGAAAGGGAAACCGCCCGCCGUGGCCGUCUUUUGGGAUGGUGUGGACGGGUAAGGGUGAAAAGGUGGGGUAAGAGCCCACCAGCGGUCCUGGUGACAGGGCCGGCUUGGUAAACCCCUCCCGGAGCAAGGCCAAAUAGGAGCCGAUGCUGUGGCCCGCAGCGCUUGAGGCUCGGGUAGGCCGCAAGAGGCCGCCGGUAACGGCGGUCCUAGAUGGAUGACCACCACCCGGGAAAGAACCGGGUACAGAAUCCGGCUUAUAGGCCGACUCUCUCU
rnacentral:RNase_P_RNA from 1 species